rnacentral:rRNA from 1 species
GAAUGCUGACAUAAGUAACGAUAAAGCGGGUGAAAAGCCCGCUCGCCGGAAGACCAAGGGUUCCUGUCCAACGUUAAUCGGGGCAGGGUGAGUCGACCCCUAAGGCGAGGCCGAAAGGCGUAGUCGAUGGGAAACGGGUUAAUAUUCCCGUACUUGGUGUUACUGCGAAGGGGGGACGGAGAAGGCUAUGUUGGCCGGGCGACGGUUGUCCCGGUUUAAGCGUGUAGGUGUGUGUUCCAGGUAAAUCCGGUUCACUUUAACACUGAGGCGUGACGACGAGGCACUACGGUGCUGAAGCAACAAAUGCCCUGCUUCCAGGAAAAGCCUCUAAGCAUCAGGUAACAUCAAAUCGUACCCCAAACCGACACAGGUGGUCAGGUAGAGAAUACCAAGGCGCUUGAGAGAACUCGGGUGAAGGAACUAGGCAAAAUGGUGCCGUAACUUCGGGAGAAGGCACGCUGACACGUAGGUGAAGUG